rnacentral:rRNA from 1 species
UACGAAGGGGGCUAGCGUUGCUCGGGAUCACUGGGCGUAAAGGGCGCGUAGGCGGGCUCUUAAGUCAGGGGUGAAAGCCCAAGGCUCAACCUUGGAAUUGCCUUUGAUACUGAGGGCCUUGAGACCGGAAGAGGUCGGCGGAACUGCGAGUGUAGAGGUGAAAUUCGUAGAUAUUCGCAAGAACACCAGUGGCGAAGGCGGCCGACUGGUCCGGUUCUGACGCUGAUGCGCGAAAGCGUGGGGAGCAACUGGG